ensembl:snoRNA U3 Small nucleolar RNA U3
ACGACUAUGCUUUCAGGGAUCAUUUCUCUCAUUACUAGAGAAGUUCCUCUGAACGUGUAGAGCAAUGGAACCCAUGAGGAAGACAGGCAGUAUUCUGUCCUGAGUGUGAAGCUGGCUCUUGGUGUUGCUUUGCUGCAACUACCACUUGCCACGGAUGACCGUUUUCGUCUUCCUCUGGGACAGUAAGGGAAAGGAUGCAGUCUGAAAGCU